CUGUGGGGAGGUUAUGGGCGGGGGGGUAUAUAGUCAGGCUGCCCAGGGAGGCUGUGGAUUGUCCUUCUCUGGAGAUCCUCCAAACCCAGCUGGAUGCCUACAGUACAGCCUGCUGUAUGGAGCCUGUUUUGCAGAGGGGGGAGGGGUUGGACUCAAUGAUCUCUAGAUGUCCCUUCCAGCCCCUACAGUUCUGUGUUUCUGUGAUUGUAAUCGUUGCUUCUUGCAGCAGUAGAGUGUUUCAGAAGAGAGAAAAAGAUGGUGGCAAUGAACUGGCUUUCUGUGGCUGGUAAAGCUGUGCUGAGAACUGGGCUGACUAUUGCAACUGAAAAUGCGUGCCAAGUCUGCAGACGCAGAGGAAUAACUAUUCCGUGUUGGUUGAGCUUGUCUAAGGUAGGUGUCCUUGCUAGGUGAGCUUCUGCUUGAAAGCAUCAAGUUGUAAUUCUAAAAGCAAGGUUGCCAGUUCUUUUUUUACCCAAGUGAUUUUUUAGCCGGGAGAGAUUGGAGUUGCUGUUUGGUAAUGGAAGAUGAAGGGAGGAAAAGCAAGUAAAAGACAUGCUAUGCAUAGCCACCACAUGCCAUGGGCACCGUUGUCCCCCUGCACAAAGGAGGAGCAUCUCAGCAAGCUUGGCCUGGGCCGUGGAAGGGAUCAUACAAACAUCUGGACCAACGCGACAGGAGUUAGUUCUGCAGGUUGGUUGUUUUCUGCUGUUUGUCCCACGUCCUGUUGCUCAGUGGUAGAUUUGUUGGUGUUCGGUGCUAGCAGGAAUGUCCCAGAGCAUUUUGGUUUCAGCUGUCGCAAUGCUUUGAUCCCCUGCUGCUGGGCUGGGGCGUUUGAGGAAUGAUGCCCGUGCUGAUGUCCAUCCAGGCUUUGGGGAUGAGUCUGCGUAGCAGGGAGGGCAGGUGGUGAAGCUCAUGAAGCAAUGCCUGCAGAUGGGGUUUGCAGAGCAAGAGGUCCGUCCUGCAGGCCUUGUGUGACACGCAUGGAGCUGUAGCGAGGCUGCAUCAGUGUAAAACAGCAGAAAUGCACGGAGGUGUGAAGGUGAGCGGUGGGCUCCAGUAGUGCAGGAGGGGAUGUGCGUGCUCAGGGUUUGGCUGCUUCUGUGUGUGUGUUUUAUGUGAGUGUGAUGCCAUUGCUUGGUCCGUUUGAGUGUAUGGAACAAGUGUGCCAUCCUUUGUGCUGGAGUCGUGUGCAAGGAGUCCUAUGGCUUUGAGAGCUGACUUGAAGCCUGUGGGCAUCACGGAGGAAUAGGGGUAGGGGAUGAGGGGAGGGAAGUUGGGGUAAGAGGAAGAGGCGUAGGGACAGGAACCUCUUUGGCCGAUAUGAUGUCCUGCCGUUCUCUUUUUGGAUUAGGAAUCUCUGUGUGUUUUUUAGUGAAGAACAAACUCUGUGUUCAGUUGUGAAUGAAUGAAUUCAGGCCUGCUAGUUGGUGUUCUUCUCUACACGGAGCCGCAAUUGAAAUGGACGCUCCUGGUGUGAUGUGCGGCCCCGCCCCGUGUUCUCAGAUCCGCCAAGUUGGCAAGGCCUGGCUCUUGGUUGGUGAGCUGUGCCCAGGGUGAGAGACUUGACUCUUGUGGGCUUUGAGACAUGUCUUCGAGUUGCACGUUGUGUUAUUUCUGUUGGGUUGACCUCUUGAGCUCCAGCCCUAAGUGAGGAUCCAAGCAGUAGCGCAGAAGGAAUGGUUUAGACUGGAAGUGCAAUGCCAAGGGCUGGAGCCAGCCGGAGCAGGGAAGUGAUCAUCUCCCCGUACUCAGCACUGGUGAGUCCUCACCUUGAGUAGUG
ensembl:lncRNA